rnacentral:tRNA from 1 species
GGUUGUGGCUCAGUGGUAGAGUGCCCGCCUAGCACAUUCGAAGCCCUGGGUUCGAUCCUCAGUACCA